CUGGCGGCGUGCCUAUACAUGCAAGUCGAGCGGACAGAUGGGAGCUUGCUCCCUGAUGUUAGCGGCGGACGGGUGAGUAACACGUGGGUAACCUGCCUGUAAGACUGGGAUAACUCCGGGAAACCGGGGCUAAUACCGGAUGCUUGUUUGAACCGCAUGGUUCAAGCAUAAAAGGUGGCUUCGGCUACCACUUACAGAUGGACCCGCGGCGCAUUAGCUAGUUGGUGAGGUAAUGGCUCACCAAGGCAACGAUGCGUAGCCGACCUGAGAGGGUGAUCGGCCACACUGGGACUGAGACACGGCCCAGACUCCUACGGGAGGCAGCAGUAGGGAAUCUUCCGCAAUGGACGAAAGUCUGACGGAGCAACGCCGCGUGAGUGAUGAAGGUUUUCGGAUCGUAAAGCUCUGUUGUUAGGGAAGAACAAGUACCGUUCGAAUAGGGCGGUACCUUGACGGUACCUAACCAGAAAGCCACGGCUAACUACGUGCCAGCAGCCGCGGUAAUACGUAGGUGGCAAGCGUUGUCCGGAAUUAUUGGGCGUAAAGGGCUCGCAGGCGGUUUCUUAAGUCUGAUGUGAAAGCCCCCGGCUCAACCGGGGAGGGUCAUUGGAAACUGGGGAACUUGAGUGCAGAAGAGGAGAGU
rnacentral:rRNA from 1 species